rnacentral:rRNA from 1 species
AUUGAACGCUGGCGGCAGGCUUAACACAUGCAAGUCGAGCGGAGUGAUGGUGCUUGCACUAUCACUUAGCGGCGGACGGGUGAGUAAUGCUUAGGAAUCUGCCUAUUAGUGGGGGACAACAGCUCGAAAGGGAUGCUAAUACCGCAUACGUCCUACGGGAGAAAGCAGGGGAGCACUUGUGACCUUGCGCUAAUAGAUGAGCCUAAGUCGGAUUAGCUAGUUGGUGGGGUAAAGGCCUACCAAGGCGACGAUCUGUAGCGGGUCUGAGAGGAGGAUCCGCCACACUGGGACUGAGACACGGCCCAGACUCCUACGGGAGGCAGCAGUGGGGAAUAUUGGACAAUGGGGGGAACCCUGAUCCAGCCAUGCCGCGUGUGUGAAGAAGGCCUUAUGGUUGUAAAGCACUUUAAGCGAGGAGGAGGCUCUUUUGGUUAAUACCCAAGAUGAGUGGACGUUACUCGCAGAAUAAGCACCGGCUAACUCUGUGCCAGCAGCCGCUGUAACAC